rnacentral:misc_RNA from 1 species
UUAUCCGGUCAAUCUUCAUCAAGACUUGUUCUUGAUAAGUUAAAAUGACCCAAUCUUAGGUCAACUUACUCUUCCCGAGUAAGUGAGUCCCAAAAAUCUAUCUAGCUGUUUAGUUUUGAGAGAGUGAAGCCUAACGGGCCUGUAGCUCAGUUGGUUACAGCACACGCUUGAUAAGCGUGGGGUCGGAAGUUCGAGUCUUCCCAGGCCCACCAAGUUCUACUGUACUGGAAUGCGGUGUAAGUUAGAGUUUUGCUGAACGGUUUUCGUUCUUUGACAUUUGAAUAGAUUGAUUUAGUUGAUUUUUAGCGAGGUUAGUUCCAUUCUU